rnacentral:tRNA from 1 species
UCCCGUAUUGUGUAAUGGUAGCACAAAGGUCUCUGAAGCCUUUAGUCUUAGUUCGAAUCUAGGUGCGGGAGC